UGGCACAGCCGCCCGCGCGCGCUCCCCGGCCGGGGCCCGGCCCCGGCCCUGGCCCUAUAGCUGGGCCUGGCAGAGCUGUGCGCCUGGGCACGCACCCCUCCCACUCGUACGUGCUACAAGCCGCCUCCCCCGGCCACCUCUGUCCCCUCCUCCGGCCCAUCGGCGACCACCCAGCCCCCCUAGCUCAGCGCUGGCGACUCCGAGGCCGCCGCGGUCUGGCCCGGCCGAGUCCGUAACAAGGAGCCCCGAGCUCACUCUUCGGCGUCCCGCAUCGACCAGAUCCCUGUGUCCAGGCGGGAGGACCAGACGGGGACAAGCGCGACCCGGGCCCUCCAUGCUGUGACGUGAGUGGCUCUCCUUUCCCUUUCCGCGGGCGUCGCUGCCUCCCCGCGUGGCCUCGCAGGUCUGAUCUGCCCCUCGCGCCCUAUCAAGCGCCGACCCGGAUCCGGGGCGCCUCACUUUGCGGCUGUAGGCCGGGCCUGGUGGCGAGGCUUCGGCCCCAAGUUACGGAGGUUUGACAGGCCCUGGUGCUAGGACUCUACAGCAGCUCGCUGCUAGGGCUUCGCCCGGUAAAACGCCAUUCCCGAAAGGUUUUAUUUGGUUUUAAUAAGUUCAUGCCUCCUUCGGACUGGAGGUAACACUGUUACUGGAGGAACUUCCUUUGGCAUGAACCUCUUCGCUGCCAGCUCUGGAAGGGAUGAGAGUGUAGCAGACUGGUGGCCUUCGCGGUCGCACCACAGGUGGCCGAGGUGACCUGCGGUUGGCUGGGGAGGCGCCUCUGGGGGUCCAGGGUAGUACGUGGGCGGCCUUUGGGACCCCAGCCUUCCACCCUAUCUCACUCCUUCACACCUCCUUCACCCAGCAAUGGCAGGAGAGGGUGUCUGGCCAACAGGUCCGGUAGGGUCAGCAGUGGGAGCGCUUGGGGAGCGCUAAGUGGGACAGGUGUGUGUUGGCUCCUGCUGGGGAGCCCACCCAACAGGUGUCUCCCCGGGAACCACCUCAGAGGUGGCGGACAUCUGCUCUGCGGGCUGGAGCAAAGCCCUGGCCUGCGGCACCUGUGGGCAGUGGUGGUCUCCAGUAACUGUGCGCCUCCCAGGCCUCCGAGUGGGGUGCAGCCGUGGCGCAGGAGCACAAGGCUUGGGCUGCCUAUUGAGCUGCAUUUUCCUCUUCCUGCUUCCAGGGAACCAGCAGUGGCAAACUGCAGCUUGGAACUUGACCAGGAUCUUCCUCCCUUGGCUUUGGUGAACCAGUGGCAAGUCACUCCUGGGACGAUGCCUUCAAUCAAUUACUACUGCGUGGGAGGGGGCAGAGGGUAGAGACCAGGCGGAGACACACACCGCAUCUGCAGCCAGGUGGAGCCCACCGGCAGAUCUCCGGAGGCCCUCGAGGAAGGGACCCGAGAGGAGAAGAGAUGCACACCCGUGAGAGCGAAUGGACCCGGAUCACGUGGCGAGCCAACCAGUUGGCUUCCAGUCACCCGGGCUCGAAGUUUUUUUGUUUGUUUUUUAAGGCACUAAUUUUUGUCAGCUGGGACGCUUGGCCUCCAUUUCUAAAGGUUUCCUGCGGUGGUCAUUAGCAUAGAGAUGUCUCCCUCUCCUCUCCUCUCACCCUCCCUACCUACCCUGCCACUUAGGCAAACGGGUUCCAGUGUGGCUCUGCAUCUUAAGCCCAGGUUCGGUCGAUUUUGACAUCAAUUAAGGAUAUAACCCGACAAGCGCGGCGUGGCUGGGGGCUCUCCUCGGAAGUCCGCUGCCCUGCCCUCUUUGGUUCUGCCGAUGGGGACGAGGCCUCUUCCCUUCAGCGUGUGUUUUUCCCCCAGCAAUUACACUCCUCCGCUGAAAUCUAAAUUUUCCAUACUGCUGCCUGUUCCUAAUAAAAACCGUCUACCUUGCGCUAUUAAACA